rnacentral:lncRNA from 1 species
UCACUUUCUUUUCGAGUUCUGCUUUAGCUCUCGACUGUCUUCAAAAUAAGAUCUUCCGGAUGAUAAUAACAUUUUAAUGAGUGCAAUAAGCAUACAUCUACAAUCAUGACUGGUAGACACAAAUUUCAAAUUCCAAGUAUUUUAUAAAUUAUAAGUAUACUUCACACUAUAACAUGUCAUUCGGUAUUGAUUGACAACUAUGCUUUCGGCUGUAAGCGGUCACAUGAAAAAUAAUGGGGCAACACAAGUUUAGCAUAAUGGUUUAGUGAAUUCGUACCGGAGUUCCGUAAUUCAUCAUUCCUGCAUACGGUGGUUCCUGAUAUGGAUAAGAUGCCAAAACCUGCAAAAUUCUUUCAGUAAGUAAACAGCAAGUACUAUAGUAAACAUAUCGUUCGGUACAUAACCGGUUUUAAAUAUAGAACUACAAGAAUGACAUAAACACUUGAACCUAUUGCUUUAACUGUAGUACAUAAGGCGGUUAUGGCCUUUAUAUGGUUUACGCAGUUCUAUACUUAAAAUGGAUUAUGUAUUGAACGCAAUCCUCCAUACAGAUAUACAAUUAUACAUACACACACAUAUAUAGGGCCACAUUCAAUAAUGAACCAAUUUCAAGUAGAGAGCCACAUUACACUUGUACGUAGUGCUUCGCAGAUAUAAAGGGAAGAAGCUACAUAUCUGCGUUAUGCAUCAGAGUUAAAGCAAAAUGUACAAGUAUAAAUAUAGAGAAAGAGAGAAGGAUUACUACUGA